AAGGGCUUAGGAUAAUACUAGACCAAGGGCCUUCAAGCCCUAAGCGAGGGUGAAAGCCCCUCAGCCCCUA
rnacentral:tRNA from 1 species